GACGGAGGGGGCUAGCGUUGUUCGGAAUGACUGGGCGUAAAGGGCGCGUAGGCGGUUAAUUAAGUGAGGCGUGAAAGCCCUGGGCUUAACCCAGGAUGUGCGUUUCAUACUGAUUAGCUAGAGUGCGAGAGAGGAAAGUGGAAUUCCUAGUGUAGAGGUGAAAUUCGUAGAUAUUAGGAAGAACACCUGAGGCGAAGGCGGCUUUCUGGCUCGCAACUGACGCUGAGGCGCGAAAGCGUGGGGAGCAAACAGG
rnacentral:rRNA from 1 species